rnacentral:rRNA from 1 species
AACGCGAAGAACCUUACCGGGGUUUGACAUGCUUUGGACCGGUGGUGAAAGCCACCUUCCCCGCAAGGGGCCGGAGCACAGGUGCUGCAUGGCUGUCGUCAGCUCGUGUCGUGAGAUGUUGGGUUAAGUCCCGCAACGAGCGCAACCCUUGUCUUUAGUUGCCACCAGGUUAUGCUGGGAACUCUAAAGAGACUGCCGUUAAUAAAACGGAGGAAGGUGGGGAUGACGUCAAGUCCUCAUGGCCUUUAUAUCCCGGGCUACACACGUACUACAAUGGCUGGUACAGAGGGAAGCGAACACGCGAGUGGGAGCCAAUCCCCUAAAGCCAGUCUCAGUUCGGAUUGGAGUCUGCAACUCGACUCCAUGAAGAUGGAAUCGCUAGUAAUCGCUGAUCAGCACGCAGCGGUGAAUACGUUCCCGGGCCUUGUACACACCGGAGUGC